rnacentral:rRNA from 1 species
GACGAACGCUGGCGGCGUGCCUAAUACAUGCAAGUCGAGCGCACAGGUGAGGGGUUUGUUCCUUGGACGAUUGCCGCGGGGGGGUGUGACACAUGUGGAUACUCUACCUAAACGGCUGGGAACACUUCGAGAAACCGGCGAUAACACCAUAAUAUAUGUUGAAGCAUAAGGUUCACUAAAGAAAUGCAGUUUUGUCGCUACUUAUAGAUGGUUCCGUGCCGUAUUAGCUAGUUGGUAAGGUAACGGAUUACCACGGCAACGAUGCGUAGCCGACCUGAGAGGGUGAUCGGCCACACUGGAACUGAGACACGGUCCAGACUCCUACGGGAGGCAGCAGUAGGGAAUCUUCCGCAAUGGGCGAAAGCCUGACGGAGCAACGCCGCGUGAGUGAUGAAGGUCUUCGGAUCGUAAAACUCUGUUAUUAGGGAAGAACAAAUGUGUAAGUAACUAUGCACGUCUUGACGGUACCUAAUCAGAAAGCCACGGCUAACUACGUG